rnacentral:lncRNA from 1 species
GAGAACCUGGUGGGAUUUGCCUCAGUUGCCUGAAUGCCGGUUGCUGGGCAGAAAGAAACAGAGUGCAGAUUGCCCUCUGCUGCGCCUGCUUACCUUGGCAUGUGUCUUGCACCAGAAGGCUGCCGUUUAUACUGAUAUGAAGCAGAAAUCCCAGGUCUGGUAUUCAUAUCAAUCUUUCUGAGGAACGGAUUGGCCGUCUUUUAUCCUGCCCUUCCACCCCUGCACAGGGACUCUAAGAAGGCCACAAUUACUGCACCUCCCUCCAUUUGGCUGUCAGCCUUCCCACCUGGAAGCAGACGACACUUCCUGUCCUGACCAGGCUGGCCUCCAGUGUGCUUUGAGCAACAGAAUGAUGUUGAAAGUGCAACUUACAAGAGAUGACGUUCCGGUACUCCUGGGGCCACACAUGGAGUGCACUGCCACUUUUUCUCUCACAGGAAAGAAAUCCAACCACACAGAGAUCGCCAAGCUACGCCAAAGCCCAAAUUAUCCACACAGAAGCUCCAUGAAGAAGACAGUGAGGCCCAGAGAAUUGGCUAAAGGCACGAAAUAUUCAAGUAAAGAAGGUUUUUGUUUUGCUUUGUUUUGUUUUGAGUGUUCAAACCCCAAAUUACGCUCUAUAACCAGAACCACCCAGCUGCACUCAGCUCAGACUGUAGAAUUAUGGGAAAUGAUAAAAUGGAGCUCAAGACUACAGCAUGGCUUCUUUGUCGCUAGCCUCACACCCACAUCCCAGACCGGAAGAAACAACAAGUGUCAGCAUCCCUUCAUCUCACCAACCAGAGCUAUGCCACAAGGACACCCACAGCUAAGGACAGCAAACACCUUGGAGAAUCUCAACUUUGACCCGGAAGUACUCACUACCUGGAACUGUCUGCCUGAGGGUACCAGGGAGAAAACAUGGGUUGUGACUAGUGUUCUCCUCAUUCUCCACCUAUAAAAAGGGGUUAGAACUUACCUUGAUGACUUGUUGAAUUUCAGAGAGACUAUGGGCAAACAUCAUAGUACCCAAGGCAUAACGGCACUCAGGAAAAGCCGUUAUAUCUUGAAUUUCCAGAAGUGGCCGUUAGCAGGGAGUUUUCCUGAAGGUGCUAAAAAUGUAUAAUAGAGACAUGGUUUGGACUCUUCAGUUCUUUUACAUUGAAUUCACUUCUUGGUUAAUAAAUCUUUUCUUGAUAGUCUAUUCAACCACUAAUAAAUCCAGCUGGAUUGUCAUUAUGACUCUUCACUUACAUGUGACACAUGAAAAAACAAGGCUUGGAAAGACACAAAGGGUGAGUUGGCAGGGUGCUACAGCCCUGUGGCUACAGAGCUGCAUAUUUCUUCUCUGAUUCAUGGAAAAAUACGUAGCACAUAGAAGUCAGC